rnacentral:rRNA from 5 species
GACUGCCAGUGAUAAACUGGAGGAAGGUGGGGAUGACGUCAAGUCAUCAUGGCCCUUACGACCAGGGCUACACACGUGCUACAAUGGCGCAUACAAAGAGAAGCGACCUCGCGAGAGCAAGCGGACCUCAUAAAGUGCGUCGUAGUCCGGAUUGGAGUCUGCAACUCGACUCCAUGAAGUCGGAAUCGCUAGUAAUCGUGGAUCAGAAUGCCACGGUGAAUACGUUCCCGGGCCUUGUACACACCGCCCGUCACACCAUGGGAGUGGGUUGCAAAAGAAGUAGGUAGCUUAACCUUCGGGAGGGCGCUUACCACUUUGUGAUUCAUGACUGGGGUGAAGUCGUAACAAGGUAACCGUAGGGGAACCUGC